rnacentral:misc_RNA from 1 species
AACGCACCUUGCGCUCCUUGGUAUUCCUCGGAGCACACCUGUUUGAGUAUCAUGAAAUUCUCAAAGCAAGUCUUUUGUUAAUUCAACUGGCUUUUGUUUUGGAUUUGGAGGUUUUGCAGAUUCACGUCUGCUCCUCUUAAAUGCAUUAGCUGGAUCUCUAUAAAACCGGUUCCACUCGGCGUGAUAAGUAUCACUCGCCGAGGACACUCUUGAAAAAGGGUGGCCGGAUUCAUGGAUGAACCGCUUCUAACGGUCUAUUAGAUUAGACAAACACACUUUAUGAUCUGAUCUCAAAUCAGGUGGGACUACCCGCUGAACUUAA